CCCUGGUGACCUGUGACAAAGGAGUGUUCAGAUUACAUCCCUCCUCUGUCCCAGGCCCAGACUU
rnacentral:precursor_RNA from 1 species